rnacentral:rRNA from 1 species
GAUGAACGCUAGCUACAGGCUUAACACAUGCAAGUCGAGGGGAAACGACAUCGAAAGCUUGCUUUUGAUGGGCGUCGACCGGCGCACGGGUGAGUAACGCGUAUCCAACCUGCCCACCACUUGGGGAUAACCUUGCGAAAGUAAGACUAAUACCCAAUGAUAUCUCUAGAAGACAUCUGAAGGAGAUUAAAGAUUUAUCGGUGAUGGAUGGGGAUGCGUCUGAUUAGCUUGUUGGCGGGGUAACGGCCCACCAAGGCGACGAUCAGUAGGGGUUAUGAGAGGAAGGUCCCCCACAGUGGAACUGAGACACGGUCCAAACUCCUACGGGAGGCAGCAGUGAGGAAUAUUGGUCAAUGGGCGAGAGCCUGAACCAGCCAAGUAGCGUGCAGGAUGACGGCCCUAUGGGUUGUAAACUGCUUUUAUAAGGGAAUAAAGUGAGUCUCGUGAGACUUUUUGCAUGUACCUUAUGAAUAAGGACCGGCUAAUUCCGUGCCAGCCGCCGCAGUAA